CCUGUAGCUCAGUUGGAUAGAGCACCGGCCUUCUAAGCCGGGUGUCAGGGGUUCGAAUCCCUUCAGGC
rnacentral:tRNA from 1 species